AAAGUCGUAACAAGGUUUCCGUAGGUGAACCUGCGGAAGGAUCAUUCAUAAUCAAGUGUUUUUAUGGCACUUUCAAAAAUCCAUAUCCACCUUGUGUGCAAUGUCAUCUCACUGGAGGUCGCUGCUGUAAAAAUCCGUUGGCCACAUUUGGGCUUUAUAUCUACUCAGAACUUUAGUGAUUUUGUCUGAGCCAUAUUAUGAAUAACUUAAUUCAAAAUACAACUUUCAACAACGCAUCUCUUGGCCCUC
rnacentral:misc_RNA from 1 species